CCAAUAGCGUAUAUUAAAGUUGUUGCAGUUAAAAAGCUCGUAGUUGAACUUCGGGAUCAAUGGAUUGGUCAUGCCGAUGGUAUGAACUGGUCAUAUUGGUUCUCACCUUCUAAGGAACCAUGAUGUCAUUUAUUUGAUGUUGUGGGGAAUUAGGACUGUUACCUUGAAAAAAUUAGAGUGUUUAAAGCAGGCUAACGCUU
rnacentral:rRNA from 1 species